rnacentral:pre_miRNA from 1 species
AGUGGAAUUGCUGGGUUAUAUGGUAACUCUAUGUUUAAUCUUUUGAGGAACUAUUCAACUUUUCUCCAAAGUUGCUGCAUCAUUUUACAUUUCCACUAGCAGU